rnacentral:lncRNA from 1 species
GGUGGGAAAAAGAAGAACCCACAAAGUUGCAAAGAGAAGCUACAGUCUGUUGUACCAAUUUAACUUGUUUUAAGCUAAAACAUAUUUUUUUGUGUGACCCGGAAGCUCUAGGUUGCACCAAUAUCCUCGGGCAUGGCUGGCUCAAGGCUCAAACAGUUGGGAUCUCGGCAGAAAUGGCCUGGCUUUCUGUUGCUCUGUCUCCUCAUCAGUUCUAGAAAGAUCCUGAUUGGCUCUGCUUGGGUUGUCCCUCCAGCCCUGGACCAGUCAGAGUGUUCAUGUGGUUAAGGGCUUUGCAUUACCUUAUUGGUCAAAGUAAAUUAUUUACUGGUGCAUAGCAAAUGAUUCUCCCGAACCUGGCAACUUAAAGCACUUAUCUAAAGCGACAGUUCUCUGCCUUCUUAGUGCUGAGACUUUAAUACAGUUCUUCAUGCUGUGGUGACCACCUCCAACCAUAAAAUUAUUUUUGUGGCUACUUCAUAACUGUAGUUUUGCUACUGUUAUGAAUAGUAAUGUAAAUAUUUGCUAUGUAGAUGGCCUUAGGUGACCCCUGUCAUUUGACCCAAAAGGGUUAUGACCCAUAGAUUGAGAAACACUGAUCUAAAGCUUCUAUGGGACAGGGAUACAUAGCAGCACGUGGCUCUGGCUCAGGACUUAUCCUAAGAUUGUAGGCAAGUUGUAGAUUAGAGCAGCCACCUUCCAGAGUGGACGUUCUGUUUCAUUGCUAACAUGGUGGCUGACUUCAGUCCUUCACUGGCUACUGGGCAGCUUGUCAUGUGACCUCUUUAUAAGUGACUGGGUUUCCCCAGAAUGACACACCCAAAAUUAAAAAGAGAAGGGAAAAGGAGAGGAGGGAUGAGAGGAACCCCAAAUAGAAACUCUAGACUGCCCCACCUGGGGAUCCACCCCAUAUACAGUCACCAAACCCAGACACUAUUGUGGAUGCCAACAAGUGCUUGCUGACAGGAGCCUGAUACAGCUCUGUCCUGAGAGACUCUGCCAGUGCCUGACAAAUACAGAGGUGGAUGCUCUCAGCCAACCAUUGGACUCACACAGCGGCCCCAAUGGAGGAGCUGUAGAAAGGACCCAAGGAGCUGAAGGGCUUUGCAGCCUCAUAGGAGGGACAAAAAUAUGAACCAAUCAGUACUCACAGAGUUCCCAGGGACUAAACCACCAACCAAAGAGUACACGUGAAGGGACCCAUGGCUCCAGCUGCAGUGUGUAGCAGAGAAUGGCCUAGUCAGUCAUCAAUGGGAGGAGAGGUCACUGGUCCUGUGAAGGAAGGCUCAAUGCCCCAGUGUAGGGGAAUGCCAGGACCAGGAAGCGGGAGUGGGUGGGUUGGUGAGCAGGGGGACGGGACAGGUGGUUUUCGGAGGGGAAACCAGGAAAGGGGAUAACAUUUGAAAUAUAAAUAAAGAAAAUAUCUAAUAAAAAGAAAGAAAGAAAGAAAGAAAGAAAGAAAGAAAGAAAGAAAGAAAGAAAGAAAGAAACUCCAGUCUUGUUUGUCUUGUUUAACCAUUCUGGUCUCAGAGUGACAUGUCACCCUUGUUGCCAUAUUCCCCUGGUGGCUCAGACCUGCUCUGGUACACUGCAGGCAGGAGCUGUGUGAGAAGGCAGGGCCACUGGGCACCCCUGCAGCUGCCUCUCUAAGACAAUAAGGACUAGGCCUUAUUCCUUGCAAUGCACAGACGAUAGAAGCUGCAGCUCAGGAAGUCACAGAGGGUGGGAGGCAUAUUUCCCAAAAGGAAAGUAGAUGUCUACCUCAAGUGAGUAUUGAAGUGAAAUACAAUACGUAACUCGCUCUAGGGAGCACUGGGCAAGUUCCAGUAAAAGAAACACUGCCGUUGAUUUCUGUGUGGGCUCAUCAUUUGUCCCUUAAGGAUCCUAUCUUCUCUGGAAUGAUGUCUCUGCUCAGCAUUCUUACUGAGCACAGGUUUCCACAAGCAGUUCAACUGUGGAUUUAUUGUUAGGUUUUGGAGCUCUUGGGAGGAGACCAAUAUUUGAGUGUCUGUCUCCUAUAAAUCAUGUCUGUCUGCCACUUAGGGUUGCUCCAAACGUCUCCUUCCUUUGCUAGUCUUUGAAGUUUUUGUAUUUAUAGCAGGAGCAGAGGAUACCCUAUGUCCUGAUAUAAUUCUCCUGGGAAGGAACACGAGGGCAGAAUGAUGGAAGAUCUAGAGGGAAGGGGUAGUCCAACCACACAAACCCCAUGCCAGGAUAAACGAUGGCUGCUCCGAAGGAGCUAUCGUUUGUUUGCUGAGACAUGGUCUCAUUCUGUACUCCAUCAUGCACUACAGGCUGGCCUUGAACUAGUAGCAAUCCUCCCAUCUCAGCCUCUUAGGUGUUGACAUGACAUGCCCUGCUCAAAAGGAGCUGGAGAGAGAACUCAGCAGUUAAGAGCCCUGGCUACUCCUUCCAGAGGACCUGGUUUCAGUGGCUGGCACCCACCUACAUGGUAGAUCACAACAGUGUCUGGAAAUAAUCUGAUGCCCUCCUUUGGCCUCUGUGGAUCUCAGACUCGCACAUUGUACACAGACAUACAUGCAGGUAAAACAUUAAAAAAAUAGAUAGAUAGAUAGAUAGAUAGAUAGAUGUUUUAAGUAGGUAUUUUGUCUACAUUUCAAAGGAUUUUCUAAUGAGGUCUCUAACAUCUGUGUGGCUAAGUAAACAUUUUUUCCUCAUUAGGGAUUAAUGGCUCGCAGAGGAAAGUUUUUUUUUUUUUCUUCUUCAGUCUUUGGCUGAAGUACUGCCAGCUGCUAAGCCACCCGACACCCCACUGCUCCCAGUAAUGAGAAGCCACUCCUUGUCUUGCCAUCUCUGCCCAGUGAAGCUUGCCAGGUACCACAUCCCAAUUCCUGAGCCACAUUCCCUUCCCCUGAGCCUCCGACCGGCUCAGUUACUGCCCAGAAGGUGAGCAACGUGGAAGACGGUCCAGCAGCUGUUUUGCUGAAGUCUAAUCAUAUAAACGAAGGAAUUCCUGCAGCUGAGGGAAACAAAACUCCAAGUGGGAGGCCUUAUGUGCCUUAACUCUGAAGGCAGAUCCAAUUUGGGGCCUCUCAGUGAAAACAAGACCAAGCUAUGUCAGUCUUUGACAGAGGGUCCCAGGCAUAAUGGAGCCCAAGCCUACAGAACCCUGGACUUAGAACUGAUUUUGAAGAGCAAUUAAGUAUUAGAACAUGCUGUCCUUUCACGUUGAUUUUGACUCUGACAUUUCUCACCUGGUUAAUUCAAUUUUCUGUGGCUGUAACAAAACUUGAGACUGGUAUUGAAUGCCUAAUCCUCCUGUCUCUGCCUCCCAAGUACUGGGAUUAUAGGUGUAUGGCACCAUACACUGCUUCCUUUUUUAGGGGUGUGUGUGUGUGUGUGUGUGUGUGUGUGUGUGUUGGGAGUGUGAGAUCAGCCCAACCUCUGCAGUUUUACCCACAGAAGCAGAACAUCCAGAAAGUCUAUGUUCUCUUUCCUGGAAGGUUUUGCUUCAGUAAAGCUUCAUCAUGCUGCAGGUAGACAAUUUAUCCACCCACUUGACCAAUUGUUUGUUGUUGUUGUUGUUGUUGUUGUUGUUGUUGUUGUUAAAGGAAGAAAGGUACUCAUUGUGGAGUUAGGGCUCGAGGGAGUAAACUGAAUACCUUCCUGCUUAAUAAGACUUUUGUAUAUUUUUUAAUCUGCUAUGUUUUUCUUAGCUUCAUCUUCUUUUUUAAUUGAAAAAAAUUUUUUUUGUUGUUUUUUUGUUUGCCUUCUCAACAGAUUUCAAUGGAAUAAAAUUUCCAGGCUACUUGGUCCUAGCCCCUUUCUCUCCUCCAAAAGCUCUCUUUCAAUCAUAUCAAGCCUGCUGCAGCCAGCCCUUUAUAAGCAAGCGAGGGAUGGAAUGGACGGGGUCCAACGCCCAUCUGCCCAUUUUAUGGCUUCUUGUUGCUACACACAGCGAUGCAGGCUUUGUCCCAGAUCCCCAAACACUGGUAUUGGGUGUUUUAUGGACAGAGUUUUUAAUGUCAAGAGCCCACAUGUUUCUUAUCUCUUUCUGGCAAUUGAAACUAGAAUGUCGUUGCUGGAGGGCAUUGGAGGGCCUGAGAUCACAGAGGGGUCAUGCUGAUAGGAGCUGGGAACACUCAGCACCAAACUCCAGGGAACUCUCA